rnacentral:tRNA from 1 species
CAAGGGCGAGUGCUGAAUCAAAUGAGAUAGCUUAUGGUGCAUUGAAGUAGGAGCCUGCUUCUUAACUUGCUGC